rnacentral:rRNA from 1 species
CUCCUAUUUAAACCUGCUUCAGUGCUCUUCAUUGCGUGCUGUUGUAGGCCGGUACAAUUACUUUGAACAAAUUAGAGUGCUUAAAGCAGGCUCCAAAUGCCUGAAUAUUUUGUGCAUGGAAUAAUGAAAUAAGACCUCUGUUCUACUUUCAUUGGUUUUUAGAUCAAGAGGUAAUGAUUAAUAGAAGCAGUUUGGGGGCAUUAGUAUUACGACGCGAGAGGUGAAAUUCUUGGACCGUCGUAAGACUAACUUAAGCGAAAGCAUUUGCCAAAGAUGUUUUCAUUAAUCAAGAACGAAAGUUAGAGGUUCGAAGGCGAUCGGAUACCGCCCUAGUUCUAACCAUAAACGAUGCCAGCUAGCAAUUGGGUGUAGCUACUAUUAUGGCUCUCUCAGUCGCUUCCCGGGAAACCAAAGCUUUUGGGCUCCGGGGGAAGUAUGGUUGCAAAGCUGAAACUUAAAGGAAUUGACGGAAGGGCACCACCAGGAGUGGAGCCUGCGGCUUAAUUUGACCCAACACGGGAAAACUUACCAGGUCCGAACAUAAGCGUGUAAGACAGAUUGAUAGCUCUUUCUCGAAUCUAUGGGUGGUGGUGCAUGGCCGUUCUUAGUUCGUGGAGUGAUUUGUCUGGUUAAUUCCGAUAACGAACGAGACUCAAAUAUAUUAAAUAGAUGCUUUCAGGAUUAUGGUGUUUGAAGCUUUUAUAGCCUUCAUUCAUGGAUGCAGUAACAUGUGUGAGUGUUUGAAUGUGUUUAUAAAGGUGGAGCCGUACCUGUUGGUUUGUCCCAUUAUAAGGACACUAGCUUCUUAAAUGGACAAAUUGCGUCUAGCAAUAAUGAGAUUGAGCAAUAACAGGUCUGUGAUGCCCUUAGAUGUCCUGGGCUGCACGCGCGCUACAAUGAAAGUAUCAACGUGUAUUUCCUAGACCGAGAGGUCCGGGUAAACCGCUGAACCACUUUCAUGCUUGGGAUUGUGAACUGAAACUGUUCACAUGAACUUGGAAUUCCCAGUAAGUGUGAGUCAUUAACUCGCAUUGAUUACGUCCCUGCCCUUUGUACACACCGCCCGUCGCUACUACCGAUUGAAUUAUUUAGUGAGGUCUCCGGACGUGAUCACUGUAACGCCUUGCGUGUUACGGAUGUUUCGCAAAAGUUGACCGAACUUGAUUAUUUAGAGGAAGUAAAAGUC